AAGGAUCAUUACAAAUCCAAAAUAACAACUCGUUGAAAUGUUCUCGGCCUUGGGGUGCCCGUUUGGGCAUCGAAGAUGUUGUGCCUGUUUCGCUUUGCCCUCGAGGCAAGGUGGUUAACUGGCCAGCGCCUGAAACCAAGGUUCGAUCUAAUGACUAUACCAUGGCCAUAUAUAACAAAGUUGCGUUUACGUAACAAAACAAAAACAACUUUUAACAAUGGAUCUCUAGGCUCUU
rnacentral:misc_RNA from 1 species